rnacentral:rRNA from 1 species
AGAGUUUGAUCAUGGCUCAGGACGAACGCUGGCGGCGUGCUUAACACAUGCAAGUCAAGGGGGCCCGCAAGGGCAACCGGCGAACGGGUGCGUAACACGUGAGCAACCUACCGAGAUCUGGGGGAUAGCCGGCCCAACGGCCGGGUAAUACCGCAUACGCUCUUUCCACGGCAUUGUGGAUUGAGGAAACCUCCGGGGGAUUUCGAGGGGCUCGCGGCCUAUCAGCUAGUUGGCGAGGUCACGGCUCACCAAGGCGACGACGGGUAGCUGGUCUGAGAGGAUGGCCAGCCACAUUGGGACUGAGAAACGGCCCAGACUCCUACGGGAGGCAGCAGUGGGGAAUCUUGCGCAAUGGCCGAAAGGCUGACGCAGCGACGCCGCGUGUGGGAGGAAGCCUUUCGGGGUGUAAACCACUGUUGCCCGGGACGAACAGCUCCUUCGUGGAGCCUGACGGUACCGGGUGAGGAAGCACCGGCUAACUCCGUGCCAGCAGCCGCGGUAAUACGGGGGGUGCGAGCGUUGUCCGGAAUCACUGGGCGUAAAGGGCGCGUAGGUGGCUUGGCAAGCGCGUGGUGAAAGCCCGGGGCUCAACCCCGGGUCUGCCGUGCGAACUGCUAUGGCUUGAGCACUGUAGAGGCAGGUAGAAUUCCGGGUGUAGCGGUGGAAUGCAGAGAUCCGGAAGAAUACCGGUGGCGAAGGCGGCCUGCUGGGCAGUGGCUGACACUGAGGCGCGACAGCGUGGGGAGCAAACAGGAUUAGAUACCCUAGUAGUCC